AGCUCGACCGGGUCCACGCCACGGGUGACGACGAGGUAGUCGCGCAGCGCGACCCCGUGCCGUCCCUC
rnacentral:sRNA from 1 species